GACGAACGCUGGCGGCGUGCCUAACACAUGCAAGUCGAACGAGCGAGAGAGAGCUUGCUUUCUUGAGCGAGUGGCGAACGGGUGAGUAACGCGUGAGGAACCUGCCUCAAAGAGGGGGACAACAGUUGGAAACGACUGCUAAUACCGCCUAAGCCCACUCUCCCGCGUGUCACAGAGGGAAAAGUAGCAAUCCGCUUUGAGUUGGCCCCGCGUACGAUUAGCUAGGUGGUGAGGUAACGGGCCACCAAGGCGACGAUCGGUAGCCUGACCGAGCGGGUGAACCGGCACAGUGGGAAUGAGAAACGGCCCAAACUCCCACGGGGGGGAGCAAGUGGGAAUAUUUGACAAUUGGGGAAACCCUGAUGCAGGGACGCCGCGGUGAGGAAGAAGGUCUUCGGAUUGGAAACGCCUGUUGUUGGGGAAGAUAAAGACGGUAACCAGCAAAGAAGGCACGGCUAACUACGUG
rnacentral:rRNA from 1 species